rnacentral:rRNA from 1 species
GACGAACGCUGGCGGCGUGCUUCAUACAUGCAAGUCGAACGAUAAGGUCUCUUCGGAGAUACAUAAGUGGCGGACGGGUGAGUAAAAUGUAGAGAAUCUGCCCUAGAGUGGGGGACAACAGUUGGAAACGACUGCUAAUACCGCAUAUGAGCGUAGCUGAGAUGCUAUUCUUGAAAGAUUUAUUGCUCUGGGAUGAGUCUGCAUCUGAUUAGCUAGUUGGCGGUGUAAUGGACCACCAAGGCGACGAUCAGUAGCCGGACUGAGAGGUUGACCGGCCACAUUGGGACUGAGAUACGGCCCAGACUCCUACGGGAGGCAGCAGUGGGGAAUAUUGGGCAAUGGGCGAAAGCCUGACCCAGCAACGCCGCGUGAAGGAAGAA